AAUCAACGCUGGCGGCGUGCCUCAGACAUGCAAGUCGAACGAUUAAAGCUCUCUUCGGAGAGUGUAUAGAGUGGCGCACGGGUGAGUAACACGUAAGUAAUCUACCUUUGAGUGGGGAAUAACGUCCGGAAACGGACGCUAAUACCGCAUAAUGCAGCGGCAUCGCAAGAUGACAGUUGUUAAAGAUUUAUCGCUUGAAGAGGAGCUUGCGGCAGAUUAGCUAGUUGGUAAGGUAAUGGCUUACCAAGGCUACGAUCUGUAACCGGUCUAAGAGGACGGUCGGUCACACUGACACUGAACAACGGGUCAGACUCCUACGGGAGGCAGCAGUCGGGAAUUUUGGGCAAUGGGCGAAAGCCUGACCCAGCAACGCCGCGUGAAGGAUGAAGUAUUUCGGUAUGUAAACUUCGAAAGAAUAGGAAGAAUUAAUGACGGUACUAUUUAUAAGGUCCGGCUAACUACGUGCCAGCAGCCGCGGUAAGUCUCGCGUGA
rnacentral:rRNA from 1 species